rnacentral:rRNA from 1 species
AACGAACGCUGGCGGCAUGCCUAACACAUGCAAGUCGAACGAGACCUCCGUGCCUAGUUGCGCACGGGUGCGUAACGCGUGGGAACCUGCCCUUAGGUUCCGAAUAAUUCCCCUAAAGGGGUGCUAAUACCGGAUAAUGUCUUCGGACCAAAGAUUUAUCGCCUUUGGGGGGGCCCGGGUUGGUUUAGCUAGUUGGUAGUGAAAAAGCCUACCAAGGCGACGAUACAUAGCUGGUCUGAGAGGAAGACCAGCCACACUGGGACUGAGACACGGCCCAGACUACUAGGGGAGGGAGCAGAGGGGAAUAUAGGACAAUGGGCGAAAGCCUGAUCCAGCAAUGCCGCGUGAGUGAUGAAGGCGUUAGGGUUGUACAGCUCUUUUACACGGGAUGGUAAUGACAGUACCGGGAGAAUAAGCACCGGCUAACUCCGUG